rnacentral:rRNA from 1 species
GACGAACGCUGGCGGCGUGCUUAACACAUGCAAGUCGAGCGGUAAGGCCCUUUCGGGGGUACACGAGCGGCGAACGGGUGAGUAACACGUGGGUGACCUGCCCUCAGCUCUGGGAUAAGCCUGGGAAACUGGGUCUAAUACUGGAUAUGACUCCACGGUGCAUGUCGUGGGGUGGAAAGCCUUGUGCGGCUGAGGAUGGGGCCCGCGGCCUAUCAGCUUGUUGGUGGGGGUGANGGCCUACCAAGGCGACGACGGGUAGCCGGCCUGAGAGGGCGACCGGCCACACUGGGACUGAGACACGGCCCAGACUCCUACGGGAGGGCAGCAGUGGGGAAUCUUGCGCAAUGGGCGAAAGCCUGACGCAGCGACGCCGCGUGAGGGAUGACGGCCU